rnacentral:rRNA from 1 species
UACAGAGGGUGCGAGCGUUAAUCGGAAUUACUGGGCGUAAAGGGCGCGCAGGCGGUCGUUCAAGUCGAGUGUGAAAGCCCCCGGCUCAACUGGGGAGGGUCACUCGAUACUGAUCGACUUGAAGGCAGGAGAGGGAAGCGGAAUUCCCGGUGUAGUGGUGAAAUGCGUAGAUAUCGGGAGGAACACCUGCGGCGAAGGCGGGUUGCUGGGCUGACACUGACGCUGAGGCGCGAAAGCUAGGGGAGCGAACGGG